UGACGGGUGGCGUUCGCGUCGUCCGCGCCUUCCGUUUUUCGAACCGGCGUCGAACGCGUGCACUUUUCCCCUAGUAGGACGUCGCGAUCCGUUGGGUGUCGGUCUAAGGCCUGCGGUGGAGCCCGUGUGGACGUUUCGGCGUUCUGCGCGGACCCGCGGUGUCCCGGCCGACUCGCUCGACGGUAUACAGAUGGCGCGGGGCCGCUACUCAGUUAGCGUUCGGCCUGCGGCAAGCGCGUUCGUUGUUUGACGGCGAUCGGACCUGGUGCCGGUCCUGUCCGCGAACGACUGUUGGCCGCGGUGUUCUCGAACAGACCUCGUUUGAAACGCCGAUCUGCGACGCUAUAGCUUUGGGUACUUUCAGGACCCGUCUUGAA
rnacentral:rRNA from 1 species